rnacentral:hammerhead_ribozyme from 1 species
ACCCAGCUGAUGAGUCUCAAAUAGCAUGAAACGCGCGUCCUGGUU